UACGUAGGGGGCGAGCGUUGUCCGGAUUUAUUGGGCGUAAAGAGCGUGUAGGCGGCCAGGUAGGUCUGCUGUGAAAACUCGAGGCUCAACCUCGAGACGUCGGCGGAAACCAUCUGGCUAGAGUCCGGAAGAGGAGAGUGGAAUUCCUGGUGGAGCGGUGAAAUGCGUAGAUAUCAGGAGGAACACCGGUGGCGAAGGCGGCUCUCUGGUCCAUGACUGACGCUGAGGUGCGAAAGCUAGGGGAGCAAACGGG
rnacentral:rRNA from 1 species